UUACGGCCAUAUCACGUUGAACACACCGCUUCUCGUUUGAUCACCGAAGUUAAGCAAUGUCGAGAGUGGUCAGUACUUAGAUGCUGACCACUUGGGAAUACCAGGUGCU
rnacentral:rRNA from 1 species